CUGGCUGGGUCACACGGGUUGCUCUUGGCCCACCACCCACCGACUUACCGAGCACCAUGUGGGCUUUGCUCCCUGCAGUCAUGCCCCAAGGCCCGAGGGAUGCCCUGAAACCUAAAAAAUUACAUCACACUUUUGGCAAACUGCUGUUCCAGCAUUUUCUUGUCAUAUGUCUUUGCAGAUUUUUGUUCUUUAUAAUGGAAAAAAUAUGUUCUAAUAAAAUACUAAUUUCAAAAAGAAUAUAUGAAGAUUGUUAUGAAGUAGCCUCCUCCUUUCUGCACCAAGCCAUGCUGCAUCUGGGAAGCAAAGGGACGAUUUCUACCCACAGUGCCACAAUUUUCCCUCUUUCAUCGUAGCUCUCCACAAGUCAUUUGCUCCAAUUCAGCCAGAGUCUAGUGCUUAAAUUUCUGGACGGAAUAAGGCUCCAGCACACCAAAAUUUCCCCCCUGGACUCUGUAAAUACAACAGCAGGAAGAAGCUACUUUUUGUCCCUUUGGGCCAGGAGGACAUGACAAACAUCAGCAUGGAUGUGUUCCUGAAGACCAAACUGCUUUCUGUAAGUCUGCUCACAGACUUCAUAGUCCAUCUGUUUUCUGUAAAAUGCAGUUAUUUACAGCAAAGUUCACUUCACAGUACAGUAGCUGCUGUUUAUGUUGCUAUUUCUGAUGAGGCUAAAUAUUGUCUAUUUUUCAUUAUAUCUCAAUGCUGCCUUUAAUUGCCUCUUUCCAGCAAUUUUACAUAUUGUCCCUCCCGGCUGUUCACACACAGACUUCCCCUUACUUGGCAAUCUUCCAGUCAUUCUGUACUACAGAAGUACUAAAACAGCAGAGCAGUUGAUGACAGUUAAAAUAAAACUACAUUAUGUUGUACUACACGGCCUAGAGAUGAGUGAGCAGUUGGACAACAGAGCAUCCAAGAUGCAUUAGAAGUUCUCUUCCUUCUCUUGACUGUUCAUUUUAUACAAAAAAAGGUGGUAGAGGCUUAACAAAUGUAUCUUGAAAUGUUAUCUAAUGUCUUUAUUUAUCUCUACUCCAGGGGAGAGUAUGUUGGAACUAUGGAUUCUCUCAAAUAACAAACAAAUUGCUCUCACAGGAAUCAACUCCAUAACUCUGACACUUGAGACAUGGGGAAGCAGAGACAUUCCCUGGAGAUCCACUGGGCUCAUUAACACAGCCAGGCUGACUCAGCAGUACAUCUACGUGUGCCAAACUGCAAAGAUACAAGGAAGCUUAAUGGUUUUAAUGUGGUAUUCAGCAUAAACACACACCUAUUUCCUAAAUAGGUACAUUCCUAAUAUAAGGAAUCCAGUGUCUUGCUGUUUAAUGCACCCAGACCCCACUGCUCUGUCAUUGCCAGUGGCUGCUGGUGUCCAGUAACUCAGGGAAACCAGCAGUGUGGGGCUGUGUCCCACAGAAGAGCUGCUUUGGUUUCCUCUUCAUCCUCUUCACCUCACUUGGGUACAGAGGAAGCCCUCGGGCUCCUGGCAGGCUGCCAGUGUAAAUCCAGCACAGCUGGCUUGAGUGGAGUGUAAGGCCUCAAUAUUGCAUUUCAAACACGGAUUAGUAAAGCAGGUGAUUGAAAACAAAUAAAAAGGUGUUUGUUUAGCUUAUGGAAAUUGUGGAAAAGAAAACAGCUCCAGCAGUCCUAAGCUGGAAAUGCUACAGCAGUCAGGUACAUCAGAUUCUUCUGAAUGAACUUCCCUCCCUCCACCUUCAGAUGCAAGGAUGAAGCUCAAACAAGCAGCUGAAAUUCAACUCAACAGAAAGCCAUCCAAAAGGGCUGUCCUGGGUUGGUGUUGUGUCUGCUCCUCUCCCGCCCCCACACCUCUCUGUCUGCAUGGAGCUGCCGCCAGUGCCCUUCUCCCCCCCGGGGGCGUGGGGCCCCGGGGCUGUGCUGCUUGCUGCCCGCUUGCUUCUGCCCCGCUACUUCUGCGGCUGCUGCCUUCCCCUCCCCCUUCUCUCCUUCAGCUCAAAGAUCUGUACCGGCUCCGGAUGGGACCUGGACAUCAGAGACUGCCUCCGGAGCCUGCCCAAGAAGCUUCUCGCCCUUCCCAGCAGCGACCGUCUCUCACUUUGGUGAAAACGUUUUUUGUCAUCUGGGAUUGUACUUUCCUGUUGCUGGGAAGUGUUUUUCUUGUGUUUGUUAAUAAAUAGGUUUUUUCCAUUUUUUUCCCCCGAGUAAAAUUCUUUCCGAGCCCAGUGGGGGGAGGAAUUGUGAGGGGGGCUUAUUCUCUGGGGGCUCCUUUGGAGGCUUCCCCCCCAGUUUUGUCCUAAACUUGGACAAGGGCCAAGAGCAAGGAUUCAUGCAGUAAAGUAAAUACCUGGAGAUGGAAAAAUAUACAUUUUUCCUCCCACGUAUUUUGGAAUUAUUGUGCCAGGAAAUUAUUAAAUCAUACAAGUUUCAGUAAUGAACGUAUUGCUUGGAUGGCAUGAGAAAUUACUGAGGGAUAUAGCUAAGGAAAAUAACUUUCCAAAGUCAGUGAUGAAAGAGCACCAUUUCUCAUAGGUGGAUACUGUGUGAAUUGAAAGGAUGUAAGAGCAAGGAAGAAAUUGGAAAAAACAUUGGAAAUGUUCAGUGAUAACUGAUUCAAUAAAUUGUCUAAAUGUAGGGAGAGAUUAGAAGUCAGGAAUAAAAAAAUCAGACUUUACCCAGUUUACAAAAUACAUAAUGUCAGUAAGAAUUUUUUUGGAGUAAAAUCAAAGGAAGACAAAUUGUGUAAUUCUUCCCAACUGCCCUAACAUGUUAGAUCUGAAAUGAUGAACUCUUUUGGGCAGUGGUUCUCACUCUAGGGCUGUCAGCACCUAACGUACCCAUUCCUAACUCUCACCUUUCUACACUGGAGGGUUAAUAUCCACAUGGUAAGUGGCACGUGCAUGGGUUUUGUGGCACACUCCAUACUCUUGCUGCCCUUGCUGACCCUGGCAGGCUGUGAGACCCCAGGCCUGGCCAAAGGUUUGUUCAAGUAACAGAAUGUCAGCAGGUCUUCAGAAUACUGGCCUGUGGUAGAGCUCAGCACUGGCCAGUGACUGCUGUCCAUUAACAGAGAGAGCAGAUUUACAGUUAAUGUGGAGGAAAAAGGAGUCAUCUUGCAAGGAGAUGCCAAGGAAGCCCACUGUUUUUCACAAAAUAGCCACAGCUGGAGCUGGAAGCAUUUUCUAAAAGGUUCUGCCAAGCAACAGCAAAGUCACAGUCCAUCUAGACUUUUUACAGUGGAGGCAGGGCUGCACAGUCACUAUACUUAGUAAACAGUGCCUGGCAUUCAGGGAUCUUCCUGAUGUGGUAGCCUGUUUAUUCUGGGGGCACCUCCCUGCUUGCUUUCAACUAAACCCUACCAAUCCUUCAGUUCUAGCCCCAAUGGGGUUGUGCUUCAUAUUUUCCUAGUUUGGGAAUUUGUAAUAAAUUUGCUUGGAAGCAAACAAACCAACCAACCUACC